UCUUAGGCUAUCAUGUUCUGUUUCCAGAUGAAUUUGAAACUGAACAACGUAAGGAUGUCAAUAGUAAGGGGUUGAUUUUAAACGGACGACUUCUAUUUGACUUGAGCGCGGUAAAAUCAUAACAAAUUGGAUUGUUGGAUUUUCUCCGAUUGCAACUCUAGAAUAUUCACCAUGAUAGCAAAAUUUAUCUUUAAAGUGGUUAUAGUUUUGACGCUUAUCCGAAUGGCACACAUGGAGAAAAAUGAGAGAUCUCAAGAGCCUUCACACACACCCUGUGACAAAGCGUCCCCAGCGACAACCUACUGGACAGAGUGGUACUCGACCUCAAACGACGUCGGAUCAAACGAGCAAGACUUUAGACAU